rnacentral:rRNA from 1 species
GGCGAACGGGUGAGUAACACGUGGGUAAUCUGCCCUGCACUCUGGGAUAAGCCUGGGAAACUGGGUCUAAUACCGGAUAGGACCAUGCUUUAGUGUGUGUGGUGGAAAGUUUUUCGGUGUAGGAUGAGCCCGCGGCCUAUCAGCUUGUUGGCGGGGUAAUGGCCUACCAAGGCGGCGACGGGUAGCCGGACUGAGAGGUUGGUCGGCCACAUUGGGACUGAGAUACGGCCCAG